rnacentral:misc_RNA from 1 species
AUGAUUGUGAAUCGUUGCCUUCAGUGCUGGCUCCGGCAAGUGCACGCUGGUGACUUUCAUCCACUCCCUGUGCACCCUUAGCCUCUGCUAGCCUUGGCCGGCAGAGGAUUUACCACGCGAAUGUAAUGAAACUAGUGUUGUGCGCAAGCACAAAUGUA